GAUCCUGGCUCAGAACGAACGCUGGCGGCAGGCCUAACACAUGCAAGUCGAGCGCCCCGCAAGGGGAGCGGCGGACGGGUGAGUAACGCGUGGGAACGUACCCUUUGCUACGGAAUAGCCUCGGGAAACUGGGAGUAAUACCGUAUGUGCCCUUCGGGGGAAAGAUUUAUCGGCAAAGGAUCGGCCCGCGUUGGAUUAGGUAGUUGGUGGGGUAAUGGCCUACCAAGCCGACGAUCCAUAGCUGGUUUGAGAGGAUGAUCAGCCACACUGGGACUGAGACACGGCCCAGACUCCUACGGGAGGCAGCAGUGGGGAAUUGUUCGCAAUGGGCGCAAGCCUGACGACGCAACGCCGCGUGGAGGAUGAAGAUCUUCGGGUUGUAAACUCCUUUCGAUCGAGACGAAUGGCCCUUGGGCUAACAUCCCGAGGGAGUGACGGUACCGAGAGAAGAAGCCCCGGCUAACUCCGUG
rnacentral:rRNA from 1 species